rnacentral:tRNA from 1 species
GUCGCCCUAGCUCAAUCGGCAGAGCAGUUGGCUUACAUCCAACAGGCUAGAGGUUCGAGUCCUCUGGGCGACACCA